GGGGGGGGGGGGGGGGACUGUCUUUGACAAAAGUUUUAAGAAGCUAGCUAAGAGUAAAGGGCUUGAGGUUCGAGGAUUUUAUCAUUCCCUAUAUCCCCUUCUACUGUCAAGCCAUUUCCUUGGAAAAUGGGUUAAGAUUUUAUCUAUAGGUAAUCAUAGGAAGCAGAGAAUUAUUGUGAUAGACCGGUGUUGUAUGUGCAAACAAUGUGUGGAAUCAGUAGAUCACCUUCUUCUUCAUUGCCUUAUAGCUUAUGAGCUGUGGAUAAUGGUGUUUAGCUUGUUGGCAAGGUCGAUUUGGUCGGCCAUCGUAAUGGAGAUAUAUGGAUGGUUGUUCCUCAUUAUUUGAUGUGGUGUAUUUGAAAGGAAAGAAAUAGUAGGUGUUUUGAAGACAAUGAGCGUUCUAUGCCUGAUCUCAAGCUUCUAUUUUUCAAAAUUUUAUUGGACUGGUUCUUAGUGUGGAGAAACCAACCUUUUUCUUCAAUUUUGGAUUUACUUGAUUUGUGUAAUUUUUGUAUUUGAUAUGUACACCCCUGUGUACUUGGGUGUCUCUCUUUUUUUAUAUUAAUAAAUCUUUAUUACUUAUCAAAAUAAAUAAUGGUGUUUAGCUUGUUUGGUAUCCAUUGGGUUAUGCCACAAAGGGUCGUUGAGCUGUUUGCUUAAUGGCUGGGCAAUAUAGUUAUUUGGAGGUUUGUGCGUUGUGCCGCAUUGCAUAAUGUGGUGUAUAUGGCUGGAACGGAAUGCUAUUAGUUUUGAGAACUGUGAACGUUCUAUUCUUGAGAUUAAGUCUUUUUUUCUUUCAUUCUUUGCUCAAGUGGAGCUUAGCUUUACAUAUUUAUGUUCUUCUCUUCCUGUUUUGAUUGACCAUUGUAAUUUGGGAUCUUGAUUGUAUUGCACCCAUAGUACAUUCCUUGUGUACUUGGGGCUGUUCUUGUUUUCAAAAAAAGAAGAAAAGAAAAAAAAGAAAAGAGCUCUUUGAUAUGACUUGGAGGGAUUUUCCGGUGAAGUUUCCAUCACUUUUUGCAUACUCUGGAACUUGAUGAGAUGACAUUGACUUCCAACUCGAUGGAACUUGACUUCCUGUUUUACUUGAUCGUUGUAAUUUUGGUUCUUGAUUUUUGCCUCUACAGUACAUCCCCAAUGUACUCAGGUUUGCUAUGAUUUUUAUUAAUAAAAUAUUGUGUUACCUAUCAAAAAAAAAAAAAGCAUGUAGAGUGAGAAGGAUUUAAGUUGCUUUUGUACGUAAUUAGUUUUUGAACUUUAGCAGAUAGUGAGUCUACAGGCUCUGCUUUGGAGGUGAUCAAAGGUGAAUGAGGCAGAACCCUUACAAGUAGACAGAAGCGCAAAGUACACCAAAUGAAUCUUAAAUAUUUUACUGCAACCGGAACUGUCUCAGUAACUGAUAUGGCUCUAAAUGAGACUCUACCUUUAAUCCCAAUUUCUUCAUCGUUUCCUUUUGUAUUGCGUUGAUAUAACUCCAGAUUGUAGCUGUCCCUUUACUUUAGCCUUUGUAAAGAAGACUUUUCACUCUUGGAUGAUCUGAAGAAGAUUUCUAAACUAUGCAAUCAGUCAAAACAUAUCUCCAGAUUGGUCCCCCUAUAAAAUUCACUAGCUUCUAGUUUUAAUGCCUUUAUCCACAUCAACCCAUCUAAGCUCUCCUUAUAAGCGGACUUGUGGUGCAACAUAAAGGCAACUCCUUGACUCAUUAACCCUGUGUUGGAUUGUAUUUGCCAUGGAAGCACCUUAUUAGUGCUGGUUCCAUGGGAACUUAAGGAAAGAAAAAGUGUUGGGUGUGAGCAAAACAUUGGUGUUGAAUCCAGACUUGAUUUAGAGGACCAUGGAUCUUUAUCAGUGGCUGUUUCAGCAGAAUUUUUGUCAAGACCAGUGGCUGACAGUCUAUCCAAAGUUUCUUGUAUGGUGAACAACUGUUCCAACUUUGCAUCCAUUGAAGUCUCCUUUUUUUUUUGGGAAAGUUUUGACCUCAAAGGGAGGGGGGAAGUAGAGAUUUCGAACCAGUGGAAGAGACCUUUUCUUUCAACUGAUUCAACCCAUCUUUUUUUGUUGAGCUGUUGACAGAAGAAAGAUUCAGCAAUGAAGUUUCAGGAUUUCAGCCUUGAUGCCAGUAUUGAUUUAGUACAACCUUUAUGUUAUUUAGUUGAGGGCUUUCUUAUGUGAUAAUAGUUAGUGGGUAAUGGGUAAUGGAUUUUAAAGGAAACUGGUUUUUGGAAAUUUUUUGGCAGCAACAAACUUAUGUGAAAAAGUUAAGGUAAAGGGUAUACAAUAAGAGAUCUGAUUUGGGUGUUCA